ensembl:lncRNA
GGAGUUGCGGUGCACGGGCUUCGCUGCCCCGUGGCAUGAGGGAUCUUAGUUCCCCGACCUGGGAUUGGAUCCGAGUCCCCUUCAUUGCAGGGCAGAUUCUGAACCACUGGACCACCAGGAAAGCCCCCUUCCCCCUUUCCCACGAUGUCCACUGUCACCCCACAGGUCAGCACGCUCACCGCGAUGCCGCCCUCGUGGUGAUGGGCUGUGGGCACUGCACGCAGAUGCCCUCUGACCCUCUCUGUGCAUCGUUCCCCAGCCCUGGGUGCUGCAGCCUCUACCCUCUUGGGAGACUGCUGUCUGAUCGCAGAAAGAUGGACGCGCUGGAAGCAGCCUAGGUUCUAUACUGAAGGCAAAAGGAGAAGAGGGUGGCAGAGGAUGAGAUGGUCAGAUGGCAUCACCGACUCCAUGGACAUGAAUCUGGGCAAGCUCUGGGAGUUAGUGAAGGACAGGAAAGCCUGGCAUGCUGCAGUCCACCGGGUCACAAGGAGUCGGACAUGACUUAGCAACUGAACAACAACAGGAUCAUCAAAACCAAAAUCUGCCCAAGAAUAAGCCUCGCAUGCCAGUUACACUAAGGCAUAUACUGAUAACUCUGCAGAACUAUUUUGUUCCCUUAAAGGUAAGGUUGGCUGCUAUUGUUUAGUUACUAAGUCGUGUCCAACUCUUUUUCGACCCCAUUGACUGUAUCCUGCCAGGCUCCUCUGUCCAUGGGAUUUCCCAGGCAAGAACACUGGAGUGGGUUACCAUUUCCUUCUCCAGGGGAUCUUCCUGACCCAGAGAUUGAACCCUGAGUUGCAGGCAGAUUCUUUACGGCUGAGCCACCAGGGAAGCCCAAAGAUAAGGUUAGCACUGUGCUGUUCCAGGAAUCUUCAUCAAAUGACUAUUUAUUCCACAUGCUUUGGAAUCAGGAUCAGGCUUGGCUUCCUAGAAGCAAAUCUGAGACAAAGAUUCGGAUACAAGGGUAUCUUUCAAAGCUGAUCUUAGUUACCCACUGGUAAGCAAUGUGGGUACAUGAUACAGAGAAGGAAAGGUCAGCACACUAUGCCAUCACAGACAGGCGUGGAGCUCAUUGCCAUGGAAACCUCAGAACUGGCCACCAAGAAGCAAGGCCCCUACGAUCUUUAUCCCCCAGUUCCCUUUUGUCACUGGUGGAUGGCUGCCCCCAAAAUUAUCUCUGCACCACAUCUGGCCUUCCAAGAGAAAGCCACCAGGCAAAGACUCAGAGGUGUUUGUAGCUGGACACCUGGGCACAAGCCAGAACAGUGACUGCCAACCAGGUAACCAGAAAUUCAGUGGUAAACAAUCCUGAGCUGCUUCAGUUGCACGUGUAUAUCAGCAAUAGGCAAGGCUUCUACACCUUGCUCCUUCAUUCUUAGAGUGCAUGUUUUGCCCUCAAGGCUGCUGAAUCUCCAGAGAUCGUGUCUGUAUUCUAAGAAGACAGUAGGGGCAAGGGCUUAUAAAGAAUCUGCCAAUCAGGUUUAAAAAUUUUUUUGCAAAGCCUCUCAGCAAAGCCUACUGUCUAUAUCUCACUAGAUAAAACUGGGGGGAUUGGCCAUCCCUCUCUUCAAGGAGGUCUUGGAUACUCUGCUUCUGCUCCACUGACCCACUGGCUCUGUAAAGGUGCAUCUCCCUGUUAUUAAUAAGGCAGUUCACCUCAGGAAAAGGAGGCCCGCUUCCCACUGAAUCCAAGAGAGAAUGAGAAAGCGCACCCAGAAGGGAAAUGGCAUUCCACCUAAUCGAGUCUCAGAAGUGAAGUCCAUCCCCUCGGCUAAAGCCACGUGUCAGAAGCAAGGCCGUAGGUCCAGCCCACACAAGGGCGUGAUCACCAUGGUCCCAGAGACCGGGGACCCUCUUGGAGGCUGCCUCCCCCAGAAGCACAAUCAUGCAUUACCUAACACCAGCAGAGGGGUCUUGGACAACACUUUUUAAUUUUAAAAACUUGAUGUUUCUGCAUCAAAACAUUUGAGCACUCAUGCUAAAUGGUAUAAAUAAUGACCACGAAUAGCCUCAUAUCAAUAUAGGGCGGAUUUUGCUUCCAAAUGAAUGAUGAACAUUUUUUUAUUUUCAGAACUUUUGAGGUCCAGAAUUAUGGAAAAGAAAUUGGAGAUCUAUCUAUCCCCUGCUUUACAGAUAAUGAAACUAAGGCACA